AUUGAACGCUGGCGGCAUGCCUAACACAUGCAAGUCGAACGGGGCAGCAAUGCCUAGUGGCGGACGGGUGAGGAAUACGUAGGAAUCUGCCCUUAAGUGGGGGAUAACCAGGGGAAACCCUGACUAAUACCGCAUGAUCUCUUCGGAGCAAAGAGGGGGACCGCAAGGCCUCUCGCUUCUGGAUGAGCCUACGUCUGAUUAGCUAGUUGGUAGGGUAAAGGCCUACCAAGGCGACGAUCGGUAACUGGUCUGAGAGGAUGAUCAGUCACACCGGAACUGAGACACGGUCCGGACUCCUACGGGAGGCAGUAGUGGGGAAUAUUGGACAAUGGGCGCAAGCCUGAUCCAGCAAUGCCGCGUGUGUGAAGAAGGCCUUCGGGUUGUAAAGCACUUUAGCCUGGAAAGAAAAAACUUUGGUUAACACCCAAAGUCUUGACGGUACCAGGAGAAUAAGCCCCGGCUAACUUCGUGCCAGCCGCCGCGGUAACAC
rnacentral:rRNA from 1 species